GACGAACCGUGCGAACGUUGUUCGGAAUCACUGGGCUUAAAGGGCGCGUAGGCGGCCAACUAAGUCAGACGUGAAAUCCCUCGGCUUAACCGGGGAACUGCGUCUGAUACUGGAUGGCUUGAGGUUGGGAGAGGGAUGCGGAAUUCCAGGUGUAGCGGUGAAAUGCGUAGAUAUCUGGAGGAACACCGGUGGCGAAGGCGGCAUCCUGGACCAAUUCUGACGCUGAGGAGCGAAAGCCAGGGAGCAAAGCGGG
rnacentral:rRNA from 1 species